UGGAAUCUCUUCUUUACCACAUCAAGUGGAUGACAGACUGCUUUGGCACAUGUGCCAGCUGCAAAUCCACAAAGGAAAAGCUGGAAGCUUGAGAUGCUAUCUGUACCAGUUAGGUUUGCAUUAGAAGAUCUGUACUGGUUCCAGGCCUAUGGGAAAUGCAGUGAAAUUUAUGAGGUCCCAAAACAAUAUGCCUGAAUUUAUAACACUGAUCAAAGCAAAAGGAGACAUCCAUCAAGAAUCCAAUUUAACUCCAAAAAUUAAUCUCUUUUUGCUCAAACAGAUCUUGUCCAAAAUGUAAAGUGAAACAAAACAAAACAUAUAAACAAAAAGAAUAAGAAAGAACAACACUUUUAUGUUGGACUACAAACAAGCCACCUGUAAAAUGGCAAACCAAUGAAUGACACAAAAAGGUGGAGACUCCAGAAUCUGGCAAGGAAAUGCUAUCGCACAGGGUGAGUAUUAAGGUAUAUACAGUUAAACCUCAACAAAUUAAUAACCUUAGGACCAAGGAAAAUAUAUUAAUUAAGCAAUUAUUAAUUUAUCAAGGUAUUCCUUAUUUUUCCAAAAUAUCAUAUGUAAUAUCAUUUUAUUGUAAUUAAGUGAAUUAAAUAUUCCGUUUUACAAACUAACUAUUUUCUGUGUAUUUUGUUUAGACAAGUAAAAUUCAUGAAUCUACUUAUUUUUCCAAAUAUAUAACAUUACAUUGUUUAAGCAAAUAACACUAGACACAUUUUUUACAAAGGCCUCCUAGGCAAAUCAAAUCGUCAUAUAUGAAACUACACAGAUUUUUUCUAUAAUAUAUUAUCUUAUAAGUUUAACGAAUUAUAAAUUUAGCACAUUGGUCCCAAUUCAGGAUUGACAAAAAACAUUUUUUAAUCGAGGUUAUCAAUUUAUUGAGGUUCUGCUUUAUAUAUAUUGAGCAAAAAACCAGAACUUAAAUCCUCAGAAUGCAGACAAUGAAACCAACAAUUGACAAGUUCACAACAAGAAUCUGCAAGCUUGAAUUGACCUUUCAUUGAAACAUCAUAGCAUCCAAACAACCUAAUGCAUCAUGCAGAAAUUUCUAUGGCACUGCACAUCUACUUAGGCUUUUUUUCUUCUGUUUUUUUUUUUUUUUUUUUGAUAGGUAAGAGCAAAAAGUGUAUAUAAAUGUAGGGGAGACACCAAAACAGCACCCCCAAGUAUACAGGACCUACUUAGGCUUAUCAGUUGUGCCAGGAUGAGCCAGGCUGAUGGUCACUCAAGAUCAGCCCAAACAACAAUAUCAUAAGCUUGAACUUAGCUUAACCCAUUUUUAGUUUACACUCCUUAAUCCAAUCUCAAACCUAGCAUGAGCUUCAGACCAAUCUGAGUUGAACAGUUCUUUGUUUUUUCAUGAAAAAACCUAGUUACAAUGUAAAAGAAUUCCAGUUUGCUGUACAAUAACCUGAACUUGAAACUAAAUAUCAUAAUGCAAGCUCCUACCCAUCUACAUAAACAAAUGCUGUACAAUUUGGAUACAAUAUAAAUAUUUAAUACACAUUUUUUUUGAUAGAUAAAACAAAAAGGUAAAUUAAAAGAAAGGAGCCCAUGAGGAGUCCCAAAGCAUACAGGAAUAUAAAUAUUUAAUAUACAUGUAAGAUACAAAAAUUACUAAGAUACUUCAUGUUGAGCCAAGCUUUACACUGAGCUAAGAACAGGUUAAACUACACACUAACUCCAAGUUCAGGCCAAAUAUUUUGACAAGCUUAGUUCAGCCCAGGUUCAGACCAAGCUAAUCCGAAAACAAUUUCAGGCCUAAUAAGUAUCAGCUUGGCCCAAUAGAUCAUCUUAUACCAAACAUACCAUUAUAACUAAUCAGUUUGAUGAAUUGAUGUUCAAAACUGUUGGUCCCGCAUUUUAAUAAGACUUCACUUUGUCAAGGCAGCAAAAUCACAUUUAAAAUAGGAAGAAUUAAUUCAAAGUAUGGAAGGGAUUAAUAGAAACUCACCAUGGUCCAGCGUUUAAACAUAUCAUAGGUGCCAAACUGCAAGCCAGCAUAAGGAAUAAUCUCAACCAGCGUUGGUGACAACCCAGCAUACAGCCCUUGAAAGCCACGAGUUCUGAU
rnacentral:lncRNA from 1 species